rnacentral:lncRNA from 1 species
CUGACUUGAGAUUGAUACAGUAGCAAAAAUUAAGAUUUUAUACCCUAGCUGUCUAAGUUCAGUGGCAACAUCUUCAUUUGCCAGCUAUUCGAAUUUGGGCAAAUUGAUUAACCUUUCUGAGACUCUGUUUCUUUGUACAUAAAAUAGUACUUUCCUCACUGGGUUGUAGUAAAGAUUAAAAGGGCUCCCUGGUGCCUCAGAUGGUAAAUAAUUCACCUGCAAUGCAGGAGACGUGGGUUUGAUCCCUGGGUUGGGAAGAUCCCCUGCAGUAGGAAAUGGCAACCUAUUCCUGUAUUUUUGCCUGGGAAAUCCCAUGGACAGAGGAGCCUGGUGGACUGCAGUCCAUCGGGUUGCAAACAGCUGGACAUGACUGAGUGACUAAGCAUGCACAAAGAUUAGAAAAAUAAAAGUAUUUCACGUAUAGCACUUAGUUCAGGUUUUAACACAUAGCAAAAGCUCAAUUUGUAUUUAUUUUUGUUAUGAAUAGGAUCUUUUUUUUUUGUUACUGGCUAGAAUAAACAAUUGGAUAUGCCAACUGGAGUUCUAAGAACCUCAUUAGAGAGAAACAACUACCGAAGCCCAAGGUGGAUGACAGUGGCCAGGAAACAUCUAUAUGGACACAAAUGAUUCAUGAUGGUUGGUGACAAGGUUUCAUGUGUCUGAUUCUCAAAUUCCCAGCUGGAGUGAAAAAGGAACCUGAGAAGAAGAAUCUUUACUAAUAGCAUUUCCAUAUCUUCAUCUCUGCCAACACAACACCAUCUCUAACUCAACCAUACAACAAACUCUCCUUUGGUGUUUGCUGGUUGUUUGAAAAGCACAGACUUCAUCUGACAUUUGUAUUUGUCUUUUUUUCAACCUUUAGAAAAUCUGUUAGACCUGACCUAAUUUGAGGGGACCUACGUAUUCACGGCUGGGCUACUCUCUGAUAGUCUUAAGUGGAAUAUAUUAUGAAGAAAUAGGAUCGAGGAAAUCUUGCUUGAAGUAAUGCUAUCUUGAGUUAGGUUUUCACAUUAGUCGGUGAAUUCACACAUAGUUAUAGAAAAGAAUGUAGUUUUCCAUUCCUUUAUUUAAAAGCUAUAUAGUUUUAUGGCUCUAAUUAACUUCUGGGUUCUUAUACCUUUGUUUGUAAAAAGGCUAUCCUUC